rnacentral:tmRNA from 1 species
CAUCUUCUCAUUUCGGUACGGAAGACUUAUAUACGCACUGCUGGCUUGCCAGCUAUGGCGAUAAAGGACGCAGUGAGUACGUAUUGCGGACCCGGGGGCAGUGCCCGGCGCCUCCACCAGGAACCACCGGACAUAAGCCGAUGGUUGCUGAUGGGGGCGAACCAGGAUCGACGUGUAUCGAAAGUUGUCUGUCUUUCGCUCGGGAUGGCACCGCCGUGAUGGGCCACCUUAAAAUAAAUGCUAACGACAAUGACGUCGAGUUCGCUGUUGCUGCGUAAGCGGUCAUAGCAAACUACAUUUAUCUGAAUUCCUGAGAGUUGACACUUUCAGGUGGGGGUUGGGCCACCUAGCAACAGAACGGCCCAUU